UACGUAGGGGGCAAGCGUUGUCCGGAAUCAUUGGGCGUAAAGAGCGUGUAGGCGGCUCGAUAAGUCUGCUGUGAAAGUCCAGGGCUCAACCCUGGAAGGCCGGUGGAAACUGUCGGGCUAGAGUCCGGAAGAGGCGAGUGGAAUUCCCGGUGUAGCGGUGAAAUGCGCAGAUAUCGGGAGGAACACCAAUGGCGAAGGCAGCUCGCUGGGACGGUACUGACGCUGAGACGCGAAAGCGUGGGGAGCAAACAGG
rnacentral:rRNA from 2 species